rnacentral:rRNA from 1 species
AACAGCUCAAAUUUGAAAUCUGGCGCAAGCCCGAGUUGUAAUUUGUAGAGGAUGCUUCUGGGUAGCGGCCGGUCUAAGUUCCUUGGAACAGGACGUCACAGAGGGUGAGAAUCCCGUAUGUGAUCGGCCCGCGCCCUCUACGUAGCUCCUUCGACGAGUCGAGUUGUUUGGGAAUGCAGCUCUAAAUGGGAGGUAAAUUUCUUCUAAAGCUAAAUACCGGCCAGAGACCGAUAGCGCACAAGUAGAGUGAUCGAAAGAUGAAAAGCACUUUGGAAAGAGAGUUAAAAAGCACGUGAAAUUGUUGAAAGGGAAGGGCUUGCAACCAGACUUGACGGCGGUGUUCCCCCGGGCUUCUGCCCGGGUUAUUCACCGUCGGCAGGCCAUCAUCGUCUGGGGCCGCUGGAGAAACCGUCAGGA